CUGUGUACAGGUUGGGGGAAGAGUUAGAGAAUUGGAUUCUACCAGGGUUCGAUGUUUUCCAGUCGGCCCUCCAACGGUCUGAGGGACAGUGAAUUGGCCCCCUGUUUAAAAAGUUUGAGGACACCUGGCCUAAAGGUUUGAGUUCUGAGGAUAAACACACACACACACAAUGGGAUAUCUACUCAGUGUGGGUCAUGGAGAGCCAGCUUUGGCAGAACAUAUGACUAUUCCUGACUACCCACUUUUUCCCCUGUAAGGUCCCUUCCAGGACAUUCCAGAGACAGCCAGACUCUGCCUUCAGGGCCUGCCUCCUAUACGUGGGGUCUUAAAGGAACAUCCCUUCAUGUGGACUCUGAGAAAGCUUCUUCAAACAUAAGUCAAUGGCACUCAAAGUCACAUUGAAGUUACAAUUCACUGACUGCAAGAACCCCUUUCUGCCUUUUCCAGCACUCGGUAAACCAUGGAUAAUAGAAACAGAAUGAUGAGAUGUCCUGUUCUUAGGUAUUCCUUGGCUCUUCCACUCCCAGAGGAGUGAUAGAAUGAAUGAGGGCAAUCAACCUGAUGGGACUGCUGAGAAGAUUACAUAGGUCAACUCCCACUACACCUAUUGAACCAUUCAAGAUAAGCCCCCGAGGUAUUUCUCCUUGAGCCUGUGAAGAACACUUUCAGGAUGAGGCCAGGAAAUCAAAACCCAGGGUUGGCACGCUUGGCAUUGAACCAUGUGGAGCAAAGCUGGGUUAGUGGUAGAAGGUGAGUGACAAUUCAUGGAGUCAGCCACCAUCCGUGCCUUCUCCCCAUCCAUGCCUUCUCCACCAUCCACCAUCCAUGCCUUCAUCCUAACCGUGCCUUCUCCAACCCUGACAUCUGUCAUAAGAGAGCCCAGGGCUGGAUGGGCCCUAAUUCUGACUCAGAAUAUAAAAUCCUAGAUCUGUUACAUUGGCGGUUCUACUAGACUUUAUAUUUGAAUUACAUUUUUGAAGUGGGUGUUUUGUGUUUUUAACUACUUAAAUAUAACUGUGUGCGAGAAAACACUCUUUAAAAGUAUUUUGAUGGAAAUCAUCUGUUCAUG